rnacentral:rRNA from 1 species
UACGGAAGGCAGCAGUGGGGAAUAUUGGACAAUGGGGGGAACCCUGAUCCAGCCAUGCCGCGUGUGUGAAGAAGGCCUUAUGGUUGUAAAGCACUUUUAAGCGAGGAGGAGGCUACUGAGACUAAUACUCUUGGAUAGUGGACGUUACUCGCAGAAUAAGCACCGGCUAACUCUGUGCCAGCAGCCGCGGUAAUACAGAGGGUGCGAGCGUUAAUCGGAUUUACUGGGCGUAAAGCGUGCGUAGGCGGCUUUUUUAAGUCGGAUGUGAAAUCCCCGAGCUUAACUUGGGAAUUGCAUUCGAUACUGGGAAGCUAGAGUAUGGGAGAGGAUGGUAGAAUUCCAGGUGUAGCGGUGAAAUGCGUAGAGAUCUGGAGGAAUACCGAUGGCGAAGGGCAGCCAUCUGGGCCUAAUACUGACGCUGAGGUCGAAAGCAUGGGGA